rnacentral:misc_RNA from 1 species
UUUCCGUAGGUGAACCUGCGGAAGGAUCAUUAAAGAGAUUAUGCCCUUCGGGGUAGAUCUCCCACCCUUUGUUUAUAUUACCUUUGUUGCUUUGGCAGGCCCGUCUUCGGACCACCGGCUUCGGCUGGUCAGUGCUUGCCAGAGGACCCAAAACUCUUAUUAUUAAUGUCGUCUGAGUACUAUAUAAUAGUUAAUACUUUCAACAACGGAUCUCUUGGUUCUG